UUUACUGAUUUAAAAUUUUGAUCAUAUUUUUUUGACGUCCUAUUGUCCCCACGUCCAUUAGUCCUAGAUCUUUAUAAGCGGCGUCCACUGUAUUAAUAAUUAUAUAUUGUGUUUUAAUGGCUUAGUUAGAGUAGGUAUAAGGUGAUAAGUAAUAAAUGCAUACAUAAAUUAUAAACAAUAUAAUAAAAAAGAUUUAUACAUUUAAAAUAAUAAUUUAGAUAAUAGCUUAGAUUUCUUACCAAUUGCAUUUAUGAUAAAUUAUUAUCUAUUUCCAUGUUUUAUUAUAAAUAUAACCAGUCAAUAUCGAUACAUUGCUUUGAUUUUAUUUGAUGUAUGUAUUUAUGUACCAAAUAUUUUGUAAUUUCAUUUUUUAAGCUUUCUCAUACGAUUGUGCGAGGCCAUUACUAUGUACUAUUAUUUGUAAUACAAUAAUUUAAUAGAAACAAAUGUUUGACGCAUUUAACAUUUACUAAUAUUCCGUAAAUUAAAUUAAAUUUAAAAAAAUCUAACAAAAUGGCCAAGCCACCAGGCCUGGCGUCUAACGCACUCGUGAUAGUUGACCCCCGCGAAAUCUACUGGCGGCUCGACGCGGGCCCGGCUGCUUAGGUCGCUCUCGGCGCGACGGACGACGACGACAAGGCGGCUAGGCGACCAGGUCAUGUUAGGUUAGGUUAGGGCGCGGACAACGACGCGCAGUCCCGACGAUAUCUACCACGACGAUGACUGCGCACAAGACGGCGACUCGUUAUGGCGGAAACAACAGAGUACUAUACGGUUGAAUGAUAUAGAACUAAUAGCUAGAAACACGGACGUCACCCAUAGAGUAAUAUUACUCUAUGACGUCACCAUCGCCAUACCCGUGGACACUACGUUUCGUGAAAAGCGGUGAGCCAUAUACCUGGACACGGACGUCAGGGUGAAAACCACGGAUAUAGUAUCUGGACCGUGGUGGGUUGCGGUUUGCCGAUUCUAUCCGUUUUUCACCCAGUCCGUACGAUCUCAUAUGGAAUUUCAGGUAGAAUAAAUCUAUUCUGUUUUUAAAAUUAAACUAGGUAUGUAUUAUGUGUAUUUUUCGGUCAAAAUCAAAUGGUCGGCGAUAUUAGUCUAGAUUAAACUUCGAACAUAACGAUAUUUUUUAUAAGCUCAAAUCUGAAGUGUAAAAAUAAUAUAAUAAUGCAAAUGUGACCGUAAUAAUUACCCAUUGUUUAUUUAAUAGAUGGCUGAAAAUGAAAAAUAACUCUUAAACACGCAACCAUGGAGAUACUGCCGAUCGAUUGGUUUCGAUGUAAAAAUACACAAUUAUUAUUCAGUUUAACUCCAACCGGUAACGUAAUUGCUCGGGUUUAAAUUUUGUAAUCCACGUCGAUUGUGUUACGUUAAUAAGUAUAAAAUACAAUUUGUAAAUUUAUAAAUUUCUCGCACGCACGAUUCCUCACCGAUAUGGACAAUAAGCGUAAGCGAUCUGCAAUUGAUGAUGGUGAUGAUAACCACGUCCAAAAAAUGCCCAAAACCCGUAAUGUUGUAGAUUUUAGACUCGACUUCAUCAGAUCGCAUCCCCGACACCGGUGUGAUAAACGUACUGUGCACUCUAAGAUUUCAAGUUCCCGGUAAAUUAAAGUUUAUUUCGGACUUAGAAUUGAGAAUUUGGAGAAGAGUUAUCAAAGUCAGAAACAGCGGCAUCGUGGGCGUGUACUUGGUACUUGUCUACUAGUGGUUUUUGGAUUCUUUUGGAUGUUGUGAACAUCAUCAUCAUCAUUAACAGAACGCUUGCGUUUAUUGUCCAUAGCGUUGAGAAAACGUGCGGGUGCAAAAUUCCAAAAUGUACAGAUUGUAUUAUACUAAUUAAAGUAACACUAAAUACAAUCAAUUUGAAUAAGAAUUCGGAACCAACAUUUGAUCAUGGUUGAAGAAGACACAAACAUUGAAACAUUACGUUGGCAAGAAAGAGCAUUUGUACGAGAUGUUUGAAAAUUAUGUUCUUAUACACUGAUUACAAAUGAACAAAAUGACAAUUAUUACUUUAAUUAAAAAUUUAAAAACUAAUUUUGCACUUAUUAUUAAAAGAAAAUAGAGAAACUACACUAGCAAAUUGGUAUUUUUAGACCCGAAUUUAAUUUUGUAAAUUUUACUUACAA